GAUGAACGCUGGCGGCGUGCUUAACACAUGCAAGUCGAACGAUGAAGCCCAGCUUGCUGGGUGGAUUAGUGGCGAACGGGUGAGUAACACGUGAGUAACCUGCCCUUAACUCUGGGAUAAGCCUGGGAAACUGGGUCUAAUACCGGAUAGGAGCGUCCACCGCAUGGUGGGUGUUGGAAAGAUUUAUCGGUUUUGGAUGGACUCGCGGCCUAUCAGCUUGUUGGUGAGGUAAUGGCUCACCAAGGCGACGACGGGUAGCCGGCCUGAGAGGGUGACCAGCGACACUGGGACUGAGACGCGGCCCAGACUCCUACGGGAGGCAGCAGUGGGGAAUAUUGCACAAUGGGCGAAAGCCUGAUGCAGCGACGCCGCGUGAGGGAUGACGGCCUUCGGGUUGUAAACCUCUUUCAGUAGGGAAGAAGCGAAAGUGACGGUACCUGCAGAAGAAGCACCGGCUAACUACGUG
rnacentral:rRNA from 1 species